rnacentral:rRNA from 1 species
ACGGGUGAGUAACACGUGGGUGAUCUGCCCUGCACUUUGGGAUAAGCCUGGGAAACUGGGUCUAAUACCGAAUAUACCCUGCUGGUCGCAUGGCCUGGUGGGGGAAAGCUUUUGCGGUGUGGGAUGGGCCCGCGGCCUAUCAGCUUGUUGGUGGGGUGAUGGCCUACCAAGGCGACGACGGGUAGCCGGCCUGAGAGGGUGACCGGCCACACUGGGACUGAGAUACGGCCCAGACUCCUACGGGAGGCAGCAGUGGGGAAUAUUGCACAAUGGGCGCAAGCCUGAUGCAGCGACGCCGCGUGAGGGAUGACGGCCUUCGGGUUGUAAACCUCUUUCAGCGGGGACGAAGCGCAAGUGACGGUACCUGUAGAAGAAGGACCGGCCAACUACGUGCCAGCAGCCGCGGUAAUACGUAGGGUCCGAGCGUUGUCCGGAAUUACUGGGCGUAAAGAGCUCGUAGGUGGUUUGUCGCGUUGUUCGUGAAAACUCACAGCUUAACUGUGGGCGUGCGGGCGAUACGGGCAGACUGGAGUACUGCAGGGGAGACUGGAAUUCCUGGUGUAGCGGUGGAAUGCGCAGA